GCGACCCAGGUCAGGCGGACUACCCGCUGAGUUUAAGCAUAUCAAUAAGC
rnacentral:rRNA from 1 species